GUUGGGUAGGGGAGCGUUCUGUAAGCCUGCGAAGGUGUACUGUGAGGUAUGCUGGAGGUAUCAGAAGUGCGAAUGCUGACAUAAGUAACGAUAAUGCGGGUGAAAAACCCGCACGCCGGAAGACCAAGGGUUCCUGUCCAACGUUAAUCGGGGCAGGGUGAGUCGACCCCUAAGGCGAGGCUGAAAAGCGUAGUCGAUGGGAAACGGGUUAAUAUUCCCGUACUGGUGGUAACUGCGAUGGGGGAACGGAGAAGGCUAGGUUGUCCGGGCGACGGUCGUCCCGGUUCAAGCAGGUAGGCAGAGUGAUUAGGCAAAUCCGGUCACUUAAUGCUGAGAUGUGAUGACGAACCACUAAGGUGGUGAAGCAAUUGAUGCCCCGCUUCCAGGAAAAGCCUCUAAGCUUCAGGUUACCAACAAUCGUACCCCAAACCGACACAGGUGGUCAGGUAGAGAAUACUCAGGCGCUUGAGAGAACUCGGGUGAAGGAACUAGGCAAAAUGGUGCCGUAACUUCGGGAGAAGGCACGCUGGCGGUAGGUAAAGUCCCUCGCGGACGGCGCUGAAGCCAGUCGAAGAUACCAGCUGGCUGCAACUGUUUAUUAAAAACACAGCACUGUGCAAACACGAAAGUGGACGUAUACGGUGUGACGCCUGCCCGGUGCUGGAAGGUUAAUUGAUGGGGU
rnacentral:rRNA from 1 species